rnacentral:rRNA from 2 species
UUAUUUGAGAGUUUGAUCCUGGCUCAGGAUGAACGCUGGCGGCGUGCCUAACACAUGCAAGUUGAGCGAUUUACUUCGGUAAAGAGCGGCGGACGGGUGAGUAACGCGUGGGUAACCUACCCUGUACACACGGAUAACAUACCGAAAGGUAUGCUAAUACGGGAUAACAUAUUUGAGAGGCAUCUCUUGAAUAUCAAAGGUGAGCCAGUACAGGAUGGACCCGCGUCUGAUUAGCUAGUUGGUAAGGUAACGGCUUACCAAGGCGA